ACUAAGUUGCUGAACUUGCCAGCCUCCUGCCUCAGCCUCCCAAAUCACUGGAAUUAUAGGUGACUGCCCCUGUGCCCAAUGGGACUGCUUUUUUCAUUAGGCUUUGACACUCAUCAGUGGCCUUUUGAAUUUUCAAACUCUUAGCCAAAUGUUUUUGCUUACAUCAGUAACCAGCAAGUAAGUGCAGUGAAGGCCCUGCUGAAUCUCCCAACCACUGGAGGACAGAGUUCAUCACAUCAGGUUCUUUCCUCCAAGAAGAUUUAUUGCUCUGGUGCUGGUGCUGGAAAGGAGAGAGGUGGAGGGAAGUAGUCAAGUCCAACCGACCACACUAAGGAGCAACGAAGCCAAAAAGAGCAAGAAGAGGUCUAAGCCAAGAAGGACCUCUUCCAGCACAUUGAGAGCUGCAGAGACAUGGACCGUGGCUGCCAUUGAGGAAAAACCUAAACCUCUCUGCCUCACUUACUCCUGAUUGACCUAAAAAUCUGCCUUUGGAGAUCCUGAGGCUGGGCGAUACCUCAUCAGUCACCCAUCAGCACUGCUGCAGUUGACACCUGUGACACAUAGCUCAUAAGAGCAGUUGCUUAGGCUUUCCUUCAGAGACCCAAAGGCCACUUUUGCAGAAAACACUGGCCCUUGUGCUUGCAGGUGUCUUAGGAGUGAUGGGAACAGGAUGAACAGGCACAUCUGCCCUCAUACUGUGUCUGUCCCCUUUGCUGCCUUAGUCUUCGGGUCAGAUUUUGCUCAGCACUGCAUACAGACACGUUGAUGGUUGAGAGAUGUUUUGUUCAGGACUAUAAUACAGUGCCAACUGGACCUAGACUUGCCUGACCUCUCUCCGCCCCCUUCAAAGCUAAACACGCCUACCAGCCAUCACAACCAGAAACACCAGAAAAGAGGAAAAAGAAAUGUUACCCCUGUUCCUGGAAGAUCUGCACCUGUUCCCAGAAAGGACACGAUCAUGUCCUUUAUUUUACUCUUGAAUCUUGUCCUGCAUCUGUAACCCCUAGAGCUGAGAAGCUAAGAAGCAAAGCUCUCUCUUUCCCAUUCUUGGCCACUGAAUAAAGCCUUUCUUUCCCCCACAAAACA